rnacentral:tRNA from 1 species
GGAGAGAUGGCUCAGUGUUUAAGAGCACUGACUCCUCUCCCAGAGGACCUGGGUUUGAUUCCCAGAAUCUCCA